rnacentral:rRNA from 1 species
CAGCCGCCGCGGGAAUACGUAGGUGGCAAGCGUUGUCCGGAAUUAUUGGGCGUAAAGGGCUCGCAGGCGGUUUCUUAAGUCUGAUGUGAAAGCCCCCGGCUCAACCGGGGAGGGUCAUUGGAAACUGGGAAACUUGAGUGCAGAAGAGGAGAGUGGAAUUCCACGUGUAGCGGUGAAAUGCGUAGAGAUGUGGAGGAACACCAGUGGCGAAGGCGACUCUCUGGUCUGUAACUGACGCUGAGGAGCGAAUGCGUGGGGAGCGAACAGGAUUAGAUACCCGCGUAGUCCCUGUCUCUUAUAC